CGGUUGGGCAGCGUCGUUUCUGAGGAGGAGGAGGAAGGAGGGCGAGCGAGGAGGAUGGCGGAGUCGGGGCUCCUGACGGUAACCGGGGGCCGCUAAGGCGGGAGGGUGUUUCUUGGUUGGUUCUUCCUGCCUUCCUUCCUGCCCGUCGGGCGGUCGGGCUGGCUGUCGGUAGGGGGAGGCCCCGCGCGCCCUGACAGGCGCGAGCCUGCGGGGCUGGGGCGAGGCCCGCGGGGCCGGGGCCCUGGGAGGCGCCGCCGUCGCCGCCGCUUUCCUGGGUGCUGUUGCCGGGAGAGCUGGGCCGCCGGAACCAGCUCUCGCGGGGAGCCCGCAGCCGGGCUCUUAAGAGCGAGCCGGCGGCUCUGACAGCCGCCCGGGCCGGGCCUGCGGUGGCGGCGGGCGGCCGGGACAGCGCCCGGGCGAGGGCGAACGGGUGUGAGGGCGCGGGCCGGGGGCGCCUGGCGGACGGUCCUGCUCCACUCGGCUCCCGGGGGCGCCGGGCCCGGGCUGUGGGGCGCCCCGUGGGCGUCCGGAGGGGCGUGUAAAUCGUUGGCGGGGGCCCGGGUGCAGCGGGAGUGAUACGGGGCGGGGUCUUUCCUCGGCCGCUCUCCAAAGCCCACCGCGCUCUCCCUGUCUCCUCUCUUCGGUGAAGACUGGUGAGUCGGCUUUGGGUGUGUUGCCUGGUGAAGCGAGUUGUAGCCAUCCAAGACUACCCUGUUGGAAAUGCUUGAUGGCACCCUCUUUCCGCGGUGGCUUUUGGGGAUAGAGGAAAAGUACUCUACGGCCCCCCUCCCCCCCAGCUUUUAGCGCUAAAGGCUUCAGGACAAAACGAUUUUUCCCCAGCCCCUCAGUAUCCAUUGUUUUGUACCAUCCCCCUCCUCCGCCCCGUGCCUAGGUAGAAGAAUAAUGGCUUCAAACCAUUAAUUGCCUUUUUCCCCCCUUAAAUCGGCAGAGGGUUUGCCUUAUUGUGUUAGUAUGGAUUUACAAACAGGUGGAAUGAAUACCCAUUUGGGUGUUGGAAAGAAGAUGCUUUUUGUGUGUGUUUUUAAGCUUUCAGCCCUUACAGUUGGUGAUUUGAUUUUCUUGUCUCUUGCUUUGUAUCAUAAUAGGAGUGAUGAGAAUAAAAGAGGAAGCAAUGUUUUUACACCCUACCCAAAGAAAUGUUUUCUAAGUCUCUGGGGAUGCUGAAGCAAAAUUGGGUUGCAGAUGUGACUGUAUAGUAUUUGUCUCCGUCAUGUUUCUAGGUAUCGACCUGGCCCAUCUCUAAGGUUACUACUCUUUCCCAAGGUGUUUGUUCAGUUUUUGAAGAAAACAAUUACAUUUAUCUCAGGUUGGCAUUUGUUUUCUGAUCUUUCAUUGUUAGUAUAAUCUUUAAGUGUUUAAAUUUUUCUCUUGUUAUACUUUUUAUGGAUUAAAGACUGAUAUUAAGAGAUACAGUAAUUGCUUGCAGCUGGAUUAGUUUUUAGUUUUUAAACUGCCAUAUUCAGAAGGUUUAUCAGAGCUGUGUUUUGAUAAUUGUAACAGGUAAGACUCAUACAGCAACUUGUGUACUACAAACCAAAUUUGAAACAUAUCAUUUUCCAAAAGGAACACAAAAGUUAUAAAUUCUUUUGUUAUUCUUACUGGAGUUAUACUUUUUAAAUAUUACUGUUUCAUCAGUGACUUGGGACAGGGUUUGUCCCAUGUUCAGAGAAACAUAAACUGUAAUUCUAUGUGGAAUACUCUCAAAGGUGGCUUCCGAAUAGCUGCUAGUAUAUUUUGUGCCUUGGCUGACCCAUGUGGAUUGUGGGGGAAGGGUGAAUAAAAUUGGAAUUCUUUGUUAUCCAGGCAGUUAAAUUGCAGUCAUAUUUGUUUUGAAAAUAUGCUGGAUAAUCAAUAUCUGUUGUGUAAUUUAAUAUUUCUGUAAGACUUUUUUCUUUAAACAAUUUAAAUAAUUUUUAGAAUUUUUUUUCUAGUAAGAAGAUAUUUAAGUAUAAAAAUAAUCUUUCGUGUUUUUGACUAAAAAAUGUACUCUAACCUACGUGUGCAGAUAUGAGGAUAAAUAUUUUUUUGGAGGUUGAAGAUUAAGUGAAAUAAUGUAUCUUUAGAAUUCAGUUUAUUAUAUCAUUCAUGUAUGAAAAAGCAUAAAAUCUAUGCUUCUAACCAAAAAAACAAAACAAGAUUCCUUCCCUCCCCCAAAUAAUAAAAAACAACACCCCAGCAAGUUGACCCAUAAUUCCUUCAUUGAGUUCUGAGGUUUAUAGCUUGGCCUUGCUGGAAGUGUUCUUGAAAUAGUUUAUAAAAUAUCAAUUAGGAGAGGAAAUUUAGAUAUAAAGUAUACACAUUGACAUUUCCAAAUAAGACUAGUAGGGAAUUGGUAAAUAUUUUGCUAUAGGUGAAUUAGGUAGAAAUUGGCUGUAAUUUAGUAGCAGAGUGAUACAUUAAGUACUUCUCUGUGCUACAUGAGAAAUGAAUAUGUACUGCAAAUAUUAAAUUGGUUGCUAUUUUUGCUUAUUGUUAGAUUUCAUGCAUUAUAUAUUAUGUAUUAUAAUUUAGGGCUAAAUCUUUCAUAGAC
rnacentral:lncRNA from 1 species